GUGGCUCAGUGGUAGAGUGCUUGCCUUGCAUGCAUGAGGCCUUGGGUUCGACUCCCUAGCAACACA
rnacentral:tRNA from 1 species